AGUCACUCUGGUGAGACUGCUCCUCUUUGAGGGAAGCCAAUACCCAGUGACAAGUUACAAUAUCCAGGUGAAAGGAAAGGUAACACAGAGACCUUCCCACCGGGCCAGAGGCCACACCAAGGGAAACAUCUACUAUCCCUUUCGUCUUGUUAGCUGAUGGUGUGAGGCACAGAGCAGAGCCACACCCAGGGUGUGGGGUGAUCUGGGGGAAGCCACAUCUCUAUAAGCCUCUGUUUUUCUCUCCUGUGCAAUGGGGCUAAUCGUGUCCACAUGUACCAAAUAAAAUAACGCGGGUGGGGUAUUGUGCAAGCUGUCACACACAGCGUGGGUGUGGAGUUAAUGGUAAGGUCCCCACUUCUAGCUGAUGCAGCAAUGAAAAUACAUUCAAAAGAGAUGAGAGUGGUUUUGACCACUGAGUGAAUCUACUUCUUGCUUAAGUCACAGAAGAGGUGUAAGCCAGGCUCUGUGCUCAGAGAGGCUUGUAUAGCUCUGUUUGCAGAUGGCUAUUCUCCCAUGUUCCAGGGAACUGCAGGGCCAUAGAAACCAGUCUGGGGAAAACCCAGCGGGUGUCUCAGGCUGUUUCCUUGGAAGGCCCACAGUGCUCCUCCACUGUGUCGUGAAGCCACAGACACACUGGCAAAAGCUUUGGAGGCCGGCAGUCCUGGGGACCCAUUCCAGCCCUGCCACCUACUUGCUGUGUGACUGGAACAGUUGCCCUUGUCUAAGCCACACCUGUCUCAUCUGUAAAAUGGGAAAAAUGUUGCCAAUUGUCGGUGAGGUAAAACAUCCAGCACAGGAUGGAUACUCCAUGAAAGUGGUAAAUGUACUUAAUAAAGAGUAAAACAUAUCACACA